rnacentral:rRNA from 1 species
UACGUAGGUGACAAGCGUUAUCCGGAUUUACUGGGCGUAAAGGGCGUGUAGGCGGCCUUGCAAGUCAGAAGUGAAAUUCUCGGGCUCAACCCGGGCGCUGCUUCUGAAACUGUAGGGCUUGAGUGCUGGAGGGGAUAGCGGAAUUCCUAGUGGAGCGGUAAAAUGCGUAGAUAUUAGGAAGAACACCGGUGGCGAAGGCGGCUAUCUGGACAGUAACUGACGCUGAGGCGCGAAAGCGUGGGGAG